AUUGAACGCUGGCGGAAGGCCUAACACAUGCAAGUCGAGCGAGCGGCGGACGGGUGAGUAAUGUAUGGGGACUGCCCGAUAGAGGGGGAUAACUACGGGAAACGGUAGCUAAUACCGCAUACUAUCGGAUAACCCAUAUGGAAUUAGCUAGGAGGUGGGGUAAUGGCUCACCUAGGCGACGAUCACUCGCUGGUCUGAGAGGAUGAUCAGCACCACGGGAACUGAGACCCGGCCCAGAGUCCUACGGAGGCAGAAGUGGGGAAUAUUUAACAAUGGGCGCAAGCCUGAUGCAGCCAUGCCGCGUGUAUGAAGAAGGCCCUAGGGUUGAAAAGUACUUUCAGUCGGGAGGCGUUACCGACAGAAGAAGCACCGGCUAACUCCGUACCAGCAGCCGCGGUAAUAC
rnacentral:rRNA from 1 species